AUUGAACGCUGGCGGCAGGCCUAACACAUGCAAGUCGAGCGUGCGUCGGACUUUUGAGUCAUGUAUGGGGACUCCCCGAUAGAGGCUGAUCACUACUGGACACUGUCGCUAAUACCGCCUACUAUCGGCUAACCCAUAUGGGAUUGGCUAUUCGGUGGGGUAAAGGCUCACCUAGGCGACGAUCUCUCGCUGGUCUGAGAGGAUGAUUAGCCAAUCGGGUGCGGAGACACGGCCCAGACUCCUACGGAGGCAGCAGUGGGGAAUAUUGCACAAUGGGCGCAAGCGUGAGGGAGCCAUGCCGCGUGUAUGAAGAAGGCCUUAGGGUUGUAAAGUACUUUCAGCGGGGAGGCGGUAGCCGGAGAAGAAGCAACGGCUAACUCCGUGCCAGCAGCCGCGGUAAUAG
rnacentral:rRNA from 1 species